GUCAGACUAUUUUAAGAAAAUAGAAGACUAUCAUUUACAGCUGGUAUGGCCCUGUGGUGGUGUGGACCCAGACUUCAAACACAGAUGAAGAUCGAAAACUGAUGUCCCGCAUCUGAUAUCAAAAGUUGAAGAAAGUGAACAAAAACAGCAGAGGAAAGUUCAUAAAAGACAAAUUAAGAAUUCAGAGCCCAAUCCUAACUUCAAGCCAAGAAGUAAAAAAAGGAAGAAAAAAUCAAGACGCUCAGAACAGAACUCCAGCAAUAUUGAACCCAGGAGCAUGGACCCUCGGGCUGCUCAUAGAUUUCAGGAUCUUUUCCACUACUUCCACAGGCAGAUAGAGGGCCAUCCCCACCACCAUCUCUACCACCACCGUCUCUUCCCAGAGGAGUUUUUACUCCUCCUCCAACUCCUUUACCUGAACUAAGUGGUAAACCGUCAUCAUCACCAUCACCUUUAGAGACCUCCUCUACCACUACCUUUGUUGAGAGACCUACUCUCCAGGAUCCCCACCUGCUCUGUCUUAUGGAGUGAAACAGAAAUAAAUGUGUAAGACUCAACUCCAUGUGUUGAUUAUUUAACUACACGAGAAUUCUCUUUGAAGAGAAUCAACUCAUCAAGGCAAAACUUUGAAUAGUUUUUGGUGACUUUGGUCCACUGGUGAUCAUUAAUGAGUGAAAAGUGAUUAGCUGGCUGAGAACGGUGGCUCACACCUGUAAUCUCAGCACUUUGGGAGGCCACGGUGGGUGGUUCACUUGAGGCCAGGAUUUUGAGACCAGCCUGGGCAACAUGGUAAAACACCAUCUCUACUGAAAAUACACAAAUUAGCCAGGCAUGGUGGAAGGUGCCUGUAAUCCCACCUACUCGGGAGGCUGAGGCAGGAGAAUCACUUGAACCCAGGAGGCAGAGGUUGCAGUGAGCCAAGAUCAUGCCAAUCAUGCCACUGCACUCCAGCCUAGGCAACAGAGCAAGAUUCUAUCUAACAAAAAAAAAAAAAAAAAAAAGUAAAAGAAAACUGAUUAGCCAUGUAUAAGUAUUGUAUAAUGUUAGAGAACAUGACUGCUCUAU
rnacentral:lncRNA from 1 species